GAUGGACGCUGGCGGCGUGCUUAACACAUGCAAGUCGAACGAUGAAGCCCAGCUUGCUGGGUGGAUUAGUGGCGAACGGGUGAGUAACACGUGAGUAACCUGCCCUUGACUCUGGGAUAAGCCUGGGAAACUGGGUCUAAUACUGGAUAUGACUUCUCAUCGCAUGGUGGGGGGUGGAAAGAUUUAUUGGUCUUGGAUGGACUCGCGGCCUAUCAGCUUGUUGGUGAGGUAAUGGCUCACCAAGGCGACGACGGGUAGCCGGCCUGAGAGGGUGACCGGCCACACUGGGACUGAGACACGGCCCAGACUCCUACGGGAGGCAGCAGUGGGGAAUAUUGCACAAUGGGCGCAAGCCUGAUGCAGCGACGCCGCGUGAGGGAUGACGGCCUUCGGGUUGUAAACCUCUUUCAGUAGGGAAGAAGCGAGAGUGACGGUACCUGCAGAAGAAGCGCCGGCUAACUACGUG
rnacentral:rRNA from 1 species